rnacentral:rRNA from 1 species
GCUUAGCCCUAAACCUAGAUAUUUAUAUACAAAAAUAUCCGCCAGAGAAUUACGAGCAAAAACGCUUAAAACUCUAAGGACUUGGCGGUGCCUCAAACCCACCUAGAGGAGCCUGUUCUAUAAUCGAUAACCCACGAUCCACCUCACCAUCUCUUGCCAACCAGUCUAUAUACCACCGUCGCCAGCCUACCCUAUGAAGGGUAUAAAAGUAGGCAAGACAAUAUAAACCAUUAACAAGUCAGGUCAAGGUGUAGCCAAUUGAGAUGGAAGAAAUGGGCUACAUUUUCUAUACUAGAAAUAACACUCACGGAAAGGAACCAUGAAACAGUCCCGCAAGUAGGAUUUAGCAGUAAACUGGGAACAGAGAGCCCAAUUUAAACCGGUCCUGAGGUGCGC